rnacentral:lncRNA from 1 species
GAAACCCCAUCUCUGCUAAAAUACAAAAAUUAGCCAGGCGUGGUGGCGGGUGCCUGUAAUCCCAGCUACUUGGGAGGCUAAUACAAGAGAAUCUCUUGAACCCAGGAGGCAGAGGUUGCAGUGAGCUGAGAUCGUGCAACCGCACUCCAGCCUGGGUGACAGAGCCAGACUCCAUCUCAAAAAAAGGAAAAAGAAAUACCCAGAAUGUUACAUGUGCACUCAAGCACUGAAUUGAAUGAAGUACUGGUUUUGGUGGUAACUACAGCUUUCCAUUGCUUAAAACCCUUUCAGGCUGGACGUGGUGGCUCAUGCCCAUAAUCCCAAUGCUUUGGGAGGCUGAGGUGAGAGGAUCAUCUGAUCCAGGAGUUCAAGACCAGCUGGGGCAACGUAGCAAGACCCCAUCUCCACAAACUUACAAAAAAUUAGCUAAGUAUGGUGGUGCAUGCCUGUAGUCCCAGUUACUCCAGAGGCUAAGGCAAGAGGGUUGCUUGAGCCUGGGAGGUUGAGGUUGUAGUGAGCUAUGAUCAUGCCACUGAACUCCAGCCUGUGUGACAGAGCGAGGCCCUGUCUCAAUCAAUCAAUCAAUCAAUCAAUCAAUCAAUCCUUUCAAAAUAUCUUAUUGCUGUUUAGUUUCCAUUUUCCAGGUUUUUAAUGAGGCUAAGGAGCUUUUCAAAGGUUCACUCUUCCUGCCUAGCCAUUUGGGCUGUGUAGUUCAAGAGGAUCUGUAGCAUCUUUUUACAAAGAAGAAGGUUAAGGCGUUAGGGGAGGAGCAGGGAGAACAGGAGGAAGGAGCUCCCAGGCCCUGUUUUCAGCCCUUCCUUCCCCUCCUCUUUUCUUUUUUGAGGCCUGCUCCAUUCUCUUAGGGCCUGACCCUGACCUGCCAACCCCAGAUAAGGUGUUGUGACUAGGCCCUCCUUCCCCCAGGGUUCCCCCUGGAGAGACCCAAGGCAAUGGAUGGAGGAGCAUUGGCCCCACCCCAUCUCCUCACCCCACUUAAGGGAACAGCAUCUGAGGACAGGUGGCAGCAGGUAGUGUGGCCCCACCUCACUUCACAUUGCAGGGAGCUCUGUCACUUUGCUCCUUUGUUGCAAAUGCCAUUGGAAAGGCCAGUGCUGUGCUGCCUAGUGAGGUCUUCAAGGUGUUGGCCGGAUGCUUGAAGAAAGUGGAAGCCAUGGAAGGUUGUAUUCAGGAGAGGGGCAUGGCCCCUUCUGAGCAUGUUUCCACUGGUGGGAGGCCAUAGAGAGAAUGAUAAGGAAGGAGAAUGAGGCCACGUGGAUGACAGCUAACCCCUGCUGAGAGCCCAUUCUGAGCCGUGCACUGUAUGCCAUUUACUGGCAAAAGAGCAUGAGUAGGUGGUCAAGGUCGCCCAGCUGACAAGUGACAAAGUCAGAGCCAUCACAUUUCACCUGAGAUUCCUCCCCAGUUGUUUCAGGCAUGUUCGAUUUGUUUCCUAGCAAUAACUUUGCAAGGAUGGUCCUACUGUCCCCAUUCACAGAUGGGAAAACUGAGGGCAAAUGGUAGAGCCAAGUAAUGAAUGUGUUCUGCUUGGUCUUUACUUCUCAUGGAUACUCAAGGAAGGCAGCAGGUCUGGGCAAAGAAGGAAGGUGUUUCUUCACCAGAAGCAAAAUUUGUGUUGGAAAAGGGAUCUUAGAAAAGCCCCAGCCUCGACAUUCCUGAGCUCAGCCUCAGGGCUUUAUACAUACUUUGAUGAACACUUAAUAUGUUGCAAUUUUUCUGUUCUACCACAGGGUCAGCGCAUACAGUUGUAUAGGUUAUGCACUGCACAACUCAUGGAGUUCCAUGGCCUAAACCUGAGGGACCCAUCUUGCAGUCUCUGAGAUGGUGUGGAGUGGCGUCCACAGAUGAGGGCUUUGCUGACAAGUAGCGGGGUUUGAAUCUAGUCUUGGUUACUGGGUCGAGGAGCUUUUUCUAUUCUCCUUGAUCCCAUUUCCUCAUCUGUGAAGUGGAGAUGGUAUCAUCAUCUCUUCUCCCUCGGGGACUGUCAGGAUAGCAGGAGAGAACACACGGCAUAUGGCCCUUUACACAGGGCCUGGUACUAGUGGGGCCUUGGUAGAGUUCAGUUUCUCAUACUUCUGUCUCUCUGAGUGGACUUGAGGGCAGGCAGAGGCCCUGUCUAACUCAUUCCUGCAUCCCCAGCGCCCAGCGCUGUCCUUGCACGUGGGAGGGACUAGGCACCCAUUUGCUAAGGGACCAGAGAAAUCAUGCUGGAGGCAGAGAGGGGAUUUGGGGAACACUGGGGCAGCAGGCCCCAGUCCGGCAUCCCCACCCCACCUUUUCCCUCUUGGAGACAGCCUGGUCUGAGUUAUUUCCCUUCCCGACACUUCCCUGCCUCCAGGGCACAUUUUCUCCAGGUGAGUCCACCCAGGCAGAGGGCGAAGCCAGCAGGCACAGGCUGGAUUCCUGCAGAGGCGCGCAUUUCAUUUGGCCUGCACCAUGGCUUCACAUUUUUAAAAUUAGUUGCCGAUAUUUUACAAUUUGGAGAUUUCACCUAGAAACCUGGAUUUCCAGCUAUUCUUGAAAAAUCAAAAGAUCUAGCAGCCCUGGGCCUGCAGCUGGCAGCUGGUGUGCAGCAGCCACUGUUCCUUUGUGUUGGGUAUAUGCUGCUCAGUUUGCCACCAGAUCCACCUGGUCCAAGUCCCCCUCCCUUAUGACUCCUGCCCUUCCCCUGGUGAACCUGCAACCCCUGGCUCUAUGGAGCGCCCGGGCCAUCCCACUAACCUCACAGGUCUUGGUUUGGCAAAUCAUGACCGUGCCAGGGUCUUUGCCUGUGGAACGAGGAUCUGUGGGGGUGCCUUCCAAAUGUGCCAACCAAUGCUCACGACCAAGCCUUCAGUGUAACGAUCUGCCCACUUUCUCCUCCUCCCCCUGCCUCCGUGAGCCAGCGAAGCUGCUGCCCUGUUUGGGGACACAAACAUACACACGUUAUUAGAACCUCAGAUCAAAGGCGGCGUCCUACAGCCUGCCUCUCAAUGGUCCCUUUGUGCAGGCGGAAGCCUGCAAGAGAGUUAGAAUCCAGGGAGAACAGGAGGGGCUGGAGGGGGGCUCAAAACAAAGAUACUUGUCACCCUGAGAAGUCCGCAGAAAUGAUGUUAAAAGAGGCGCCAGGUGGAGGAUGUACCCCGGCUCGCUGCUGGAAGAUGCAAAUGGAGAAUUCUCAGUUCUGCAGAGGAGAAGAAAACACCCCUGUCCCUUGUGGUUUCAGAGGAAGGGGUGACAGUGGCUGCCCACCCCCUCCGCCAGCAGCAGCCUGCGUCUGCCUUCCUGGCCUCGCCAGGGGUGGAUGUGAUACUGGCAAGGGCUUCUUGGAACGAAAAGGUGACAGUGACCUUGUCUUGGGCACAGAGUCAGAAGAAACAAAAUGAUGUGGGGGGGGGGCCUGGGGAAGGCCAGGGGAAGCCGUGGGGGCAGCGUCACCUCUGGCCAGAUGGGCCUGUGUGUUCAGCCCUUCAGGCCUACAGCAAAGCAUUUCAAAAGCCCCUACUGUGUGCCAGCCACAGUGUGAUGCGAGGCAGGAGCAGAGAGGAUUAACUUGGGGUCAGGACCUCAGCGGAGGCAGAGAGGGCGACGCUGUUCUAACCAGGGCAUCAGAGAGAGCUAGCAUCUGCUGAGGUCCCCUCGGCUGGAUGCCCUACGCAUUUUACACACAUUGUCUCAUUUAUCUCUAGGGUUGGUUUGAACAAAGAAGUGCUUUGAGAGUUCAGAUGUGGAGCCAGGAACCCUGCCUGCCAUGGGAUGCAGGGAGAGGGGGUGGCGAGCAGCCCACAGCGACCCCAAGAAGCUGCUCCAACCCCUGGGACUAUGGAGCUCUACAGCUGUAGAGACCACCAGGAAGUGGACUGCAGGCCCCUGGCCUCUCCAUUCAGAUUCUGCAAAGAGAUCCUGAUGGGUUGGGCCAAUGGGUCAGGCAUCCAGUCAGCUCUGGCUAAGGGGUGAAGGAGUCAGGUGUUACCAACGUGGUGGCAGGGGCCACCUUGAAGCUGUGUUCUGUGCCAUGGAAGAAGGAAGAGGAGGAGGAAGCUAAGCUGGAAGGGAAGGCAGUCUAGGCUCCUGGAGUCAGUAGUUGGAAUCUCAGAUGGGAAGAAACCUUAAAAGUCAUCUGGUCCAGUAUUUUCCAAAGCAUGUUCCAUGAACUUGUUUUCCAGAAAUGGUUUCCUGGUCUGGUGAGUGGGAGUUCGAUGAGAGUGGCAGUUGUCUAUUUUGUUCACCGAUGUAUCUUAGGUGACUAAAACAAUGGUUGUCACAUGGCUGGCCCUUCAUAUUUGUUUCCAGAUGGAAGACUCUCUUUCUAGUGGUGGAACAUUAGUUUUGCACUGUGUUGGGACAACCUGAUGUAGUGAAAACAAGCCUGGGCAAUGAAAUCAACAGAUUGGAGUUCAGUUCCUAAUUGGGUCAUGGAUGAACUUUGUGACCUUGGGCAAGUGAGUUCACCUCUCUGAGUUGAAUAGGUUCCCUCCUUUCUAGAACAAGUAUGAGUCUGCAUCAGAGAGUGGUUGCGAGGGCUACACAUGAUGGAGGAUGAGGACUGGCACAUCAGAAGUACUGAAUGAAGAAUUGUAACAUAAAAAUGACAACAGUAAUAUAUUUUUGUGGUUUCAGCACUCUUCAAAUGAAACCACCUGGCCAACAGGAUUUUAGUGUACCUGCUUAUAACAUUAGCCUUCGUUUCCACCAAAAAGGGUGUUAAAAAAGGAAGCUUGGAACAUGAAAGUAAGACACUUGGAUGAAGAGAUUUAUGACUCUGGGGGGCUGUGAAUUCCUAAUGUCCUUUUGAGACAUGUAGAUCUUCCAGAGCGAUGCUGCCCAAUGCAGUAGCCACUAGCCAAGUGCAAAUGGUCACUUGCAAUAUGGCUAGUCUUUGAGAUGUGUUUUAAGUGUAAAAUACACACUGAAUUUUAAAGACUUAGCGCAAUACAAAGAAUGUAAAAUAUCUCAUUAUAUCUUGAAAUUAUACUAUUUUGGAUAUAUGGUGUUCCCUUGGUGUCUUUGGGGACUGGUUCCAGGAUCCUAGAGGAUACCCAAAUCCCCAGAUGUCAAGUCCGCUAUAUAAAAUGUCCUGUAGUAUUUGCAUAUAACCUACACACAUCCUUCUGAAUACUUUAAAUCAUCUCUAGAUUCCUUGUAAUUCCUAAUACAAUGUAAAUGUUAUGUAAAUAGUUGUUAUACUAUAUUAAAAAGUUUUUUAUUCUUU